rnacentral:rRNA from 1 species
ACUCCUACGGGAGGCAGCAGUGGGGAAUAUUGCACAAUGGGGGAAACCCUGAUGCAGCCAUGCCGCGUGUGUGAAGAAGGCCUUCGGGUUGUAAAGCACUUUCAGUAGGGAGGAAGGUAUGUAGUUACACCUGCACNAUUUUGACGUUACCUACAGAAGAAGCACCGGCUAACUCCGGUGCCAGCAGCCGCGGUAAUACGGAGGGUGCGAGCGUUAAUCGGAAUUACUGGGCGUAAAGCGCAUGCAGGCGGCCUGUUAAGUCAGAUGUGAAAGCCCGGGGCUUAACCUCGGAAUUGCAUUUGAAACUGGCAGGCUAGAGUCUUGUAGAGGGGGGGUAGAAUUUUCAGGUGUAGCGGUGAAAUGCGUAGAGAUCUGAAGGAAUACCAGUGGCAGAAGGCCGGCCCCCUGGACAAAGACUGACGCUCAGAUGCGAAAGCGUGGGGAGCAAAACGAGGUU